rnacentral:misc_RNA from 1 species
AACCAUUCUCACCUGCGGCUAGACCUGCGGAGGGAUCAUUAUUGAUUUCAAAGGAUGUGCUGGUCCAGUUUCUUGAGAUUGGGCAUUUGUGCACUCCAACAACAUCCAUGUUCACCUGUGCACAAUUUUGUAGAUAGGAGGUUCAACUCUUGUCUAUGACUUUAUGAACACAUCUGUUUAUAAUGGUUGUAUUGUUGUAUAACUUUUGAACAACUUUCAACAACGGAUCUCAGAUCGGAA